rnacentral:lncRNA from 1 species
GUUUGAAGCAGUCUGCUCCCUUAGUGUAAGAGGAUGUAGCUGAUUAUCUUUCUAUAAACAAGGAAAAACCUUCAGGUGGUCUGGCUUGGAUGGAAAACCCGGCUCUGGGAGAGAGAAAAUGCUUUGGGGCUAAAAGGAAAAGGCAUGGGACAAAGCCAAGAGAAGGAAAUUUAGAGCAUGGAAUGAACCGGAAAAAACCCAACCAAACAAGGUGCAGUGGGAAAGUGCUGCUGGCAUUACUUAUUCUGGGAACACUGGCCCCUUCUCCGGGUGAAUGACUGAAGCCACUCACCUCACUGAAACAAGCUGAGAUUGUGUGCUUCUCAGGGAAAUGUCAGACUAAAGAUGUGACAAGGAAGACUGCAACCCUAUUUGCUUCUGAUAACCUUCCUAUGACUAAGCCUAUUCAGUGGAACGAUGAGGAUAAAGGCCUUUCUGAUGAUCCCCUUCCAUUUAAUAGUAAAUAUAUUUUAUCUUCCUUAUGAUUUUUAAAAUGACACUUUCCUUUCUCUAGAUUACUUUAUUGUGUGACCACAGUAUAUAACACAUAUACAAAAGAUAUGUUAAUUGACUGUUAAUGUUAUUGGUAAGGCUUCCAGUUAACAGUAGGCUGUUAGUAGUUAAGUUUUUGGGGAGUCAGAAAUUGUAUGCAGGUUUUCAACUGUGCAGGGGGACAGAGCAGCCCUCAACCCCCAAGUUAUUUAAGGGGUCAACUGUACUUCUUCCAUAAAAUGUCUGACAAAAAUAAAAAUCUAAAAAUAUUUACUUUCAAGUUUUUGGGUACUUAAUCAUUGACAUUGUAAGGAGAUAAAACUUUCCCUCCAAAGGUUUGAUGAUUAAGUUUAUUAAAUAAACUGACAGUGGACAGACUAACAGAAGAAAAGGCAUACAAAUGUAUUAUGUGCCUGAGGGCAUCAAAGGAAGGAAAAUCUUCUCUGGUUGAGAUUCCUGGGGAGGACACUCAUGACAAUUGUGGUUUUUGGAGGAUCUAUCUUUAGGCAGCUAAAAGGAAGUUCAGAGAAAGCCCCUUCCUAUACUUCGCAGGAGAAAAAAGAGCAAAGGACAAUCUAACUGGCUGAAUGAGAGGAGCGGGAAGAAGAAAGGGCCAAAAGAUGACAGAAAAU